GCUCUCCUGGCUCCGCAUGGUCACACCUGCCACAACAUGUGUGACUUUCAUAAAGCGGAGAGAAAGGACGCUCUCAGGACGUCCGGCAGGCCUCCUGUGGCCUGUCCCUUGGGGGGGGGGCACAACA